CCUACGGGAGGCAGCAGUGGGGAAUAUUGGACAAUGGGCGAAAGCCUGAUCCAGCCAUGCCGCGUGUGUGAAGAAGGCCUUCGGGUUGUAAAGCACUUUCAGUGGGGAAGAAAGCCUUGGGGCUAAUACCCUCGAGGAAGGACAUCACCCACAGAAGAAGCACCGGCUAACUCCGUGCCAGCAGCCGCGGUAAUACGGAGGGUGCGAGCGUUAAUCGGAAUUACUGGGCGUAAAGCGCGCGUAGGCGGUCUGAUAAGCCGGUUGUGAAAGCCCCGGGCUCAACCUGGGAACGGCAUCCGGAACUGUCAGGCUAGAGUGCAGGAGAGGAAGGUAGAAUUCCCGGUGUAGCGGUGAAAUGCGUAGAGAUCGGGAGGAAUACCAGUGGCGAAGGCGGCCUUCUGGACUGACACUGACGCUAAGGUGCGAAAGCGUGGGUAGCAAACAGGAUUAGAUACCCGUGUAGUC
rnacentral:rRNA from 1 species